UACGUAGGGUGCAAGCGUUGUCCGGAAUUAUUGGGCGUAAAGAGCUCGUAGGCGGUCUGUCGCGUCUGCUGUGAAAACUCAGGGCUUAACCCUGGGCUUGCAGUGGGUACGGGCAGACUAGAGUGCGGUAGGGGAGACUGGAAUUCCUGGUGUAGCGGUGAAAUGCGCAGAUAUCAGGAGGAACACCGGUGGCGAAGGCGGUUCUCGUGGGCCUGUACUGACGCUGAGGAACGAAAGCGUGGGGAGCGAACAGG
rnacentral:rRNA from 1 species